UUGGGACAAUUGGUUGUCAUUUGUUAAAACCUUUUCCCAAACGUACAAGGUAGCUACAAUCCUACAUCCUAAACCAAUUAAUGAUCCACGUCCCUACGUCAAAAUUAAUAUUGCUAACAAUGAGUCCCUGUCAAUGUAUGGUCUGUUGGACUCUGGAUCUGUGGUCAGUAUUUUAGGCAAAAACUCUCAUGUUAUGUUGACUAAAUGUGGUUUUAAAAUAGCUGAUACUCAAAUUAUUGAAGUUACAGCUGCUGGUGGUCAGAGAAUGAAAUCGCUGGGAAUCAUGCAUUUACCUAUAGUUUUUAAUAAAAAGUCUGCUACUAUUACGGCUCACAUUAUACCGGAAGUGGAUAUUCCAUUAGUUCUCGGAAUUGAUUUUUGGUCUUCAUUUAAUAUUCUGCCCAAUAAUUUACCUAAAAUUUCUUUUCUUUUUCAAGACGAUCCUAAAGUCAUGGAAAUAUCUUUAAAUAAUGGUAUCCAUUCUUAUGAAAAUCUCACUGAGCAGCAGAGAAAAAUAGCUGAUAAAACCAUCAAGCAAUUCACGGAUAUAUCUUUUGAACAUAAAGGUCUAGGCAGGACACACUUAAUCACCCACAAAAUUGAUACUGGCGACGCCAGUCCUAUUAAGCAAAGAUAUUACCGUAUGUCACCGGUAAAACAAAAAAUAAUCGCGGAACAGGUUGACGAAAUGCUUGCUAUGGACGUAAUAGAACCCAGCGAAAGUCCAUGGUCUUCUCCUGUACUGGUGGUGGAUAAAAAAGAUGGAAAGCCACGUUUCUGCCUAGAUAGCCGUAAACUAAAUUCUAUAACUAAGAAAGACGCCUAUAACUUACCCUAUGUUUCUGAAAUUUUGGACAAUCUAAGAGAAGCUAAAUAUAUGUCAAAGCUAGACCUAUCUAAAGCUUUUUGGCAAAUUCCAAUCCACCCCCCGGAUCGCGAGAAGACCGCUUUCUAUGUUCCAGGUCGCGGCACAUUAAUGUUCAAAGUCACUGCGUUCGGUUUGUCCAAUGCUCCAGCAACUCAGCAGCGUCUUGUAGAUCUCCUCUUCGGAAAUGACUUUGAAUUAAAGGUGUUUUGUUUCCUUGAUGACGUCAUCAUUAUCAGCAAAACAUUCGAGGAGCACGUAUCACUCCUAAAUCGUGUGCUGACUAAACUAAGUGACGCAAAUCUGACGAUUAAUCUAAGCAAAUGUCAGUUCUUUUGCAGUCGGUUGCGCUAUCUCGGGUACGUGGUGGAUGAAAAAGGUCUCCGUACUGACCCUGAAAAGGUGGACGCUAUUUUAAAUUUUCCUACUCCUACAAAUAAAAAGGAAGUUAAGCGUUUUCUGGGUACAGCUUCGUGGUACAGACGUUUCAUCCCCCAAUUCAGCACUAUUGCUGGACCCCUAAAUAAACUAACUUCCACUAAAAAAAAUUCUCCAGCCUUUAAAUGGACUCCGGAAGCUGAUAGGGCAUUUCAGCAUCUGAAGUCACUUUUAGUAGAAGCUCCAAUUUUGGCUUGUCCUAACUAUGAAAUGCCAUUCGACGUCCAUACAGAUGCUAGCAAUUUCGGGGUUGGAGCAAUGUUGUCACAGACUAUCGACGGCAUCGAGCAUCCGGUUGCCUACAUGAGCCGGUCUCUCUCAGGUGCCGAACGUAAUUAUAGUGCGACAGAAAGAGAAGCUCUCGCUGUUCUGACUGCAUUAGAACACUGGCGCUGCUAUGUCGAAAACGGUAAACCAUUCUCAGUCUAUACAGACCAUUCGGCCUUAAAAUGGUUUCUAUCUCUUUCAAAUCCUACUGGUCGCCUUGCGAGGUGGGGUGUUCGAUUAUCCUCAUUCAAUUUCGAGAUAAAACAUCGUCGAGGCAAGGACAAUAUUAUCCCGGAUGCUUUGUCUCGAUGUGCUGUCGCUGCAGUUACUACAACAUCAUCUUCCAGCUCAAGUGAUGACACUAUCAGCUCUUCCACGCCCUCACCUCCACACACUACAGACAACUGGUAUUUAAAUAUUUUUAACGGAUGCUUAACGACACCAUCUAAAUUUCCAAAUUACAGGUUAGAAGGAAAUGUUUUAUAUCGGUACAUGAAAUGUAACAACACCCUUCUUUCUGAAUUUAGCUGGAAAGAGGUUGUUCCAAAUGAAUAUCGCGAUAGAACUAUAUUAGAUAAUCAUGCUAAUGAAACAGCAGCUCACUUAGGUGUUUUUAAAACGUAUCGCCGCCUUCUAUUAAAAUAUUAUUGGCCUGGUAUGUAUAGCGAUGUCGUUAAGGCGGUUACUAACUGUCAAGUCUGCCUAGCCUAUAAACAACCUACUCAUGGUACUCUAGGUAAAAUGGGAAGACCAAAAGAGUGUUCACGUCCAUUCCAGACACUCUCUAUUGAUCUGGUCGGACCCUUACCCGUUAGUAGAAAACAAAACUGUUACUUGUUUGUGAUAACCUGCUGCUUUUCUAAAUAUUGCUUAUUGUUUCCUCUUAGACAGGCUACUUCUACGGCUGUCUGUAAAAUUCUAGAGGACAAUGUAUUCCUGGUUCAUGGCAUUCCUCAAACCAUCAUUAUGGAUAAUGGCUCUCAAUUUAUAAGUAAGCAGUUAGACACUCUACUAAGUAAAUAUAAAAUUCCAAACGUUCACUUUACACCAAAAUAUACACCACAGGUCAAUACAGUGGAAAGAUACAAUAAAACCAUAAUAACAGCUGUAUCCACACUUAUUAACAAUGACCACAGGGCAUGGGAUAUAUUUUUACCUAAGAUACAGUUUGCUAUAAAUAACUCCGUAAACGAAGUAACUGGCCAUACACCUUCAUUUCUAGUGCAUGGUCGUGAAUUGGUCACUUGCGGUUCACAUUACAUAGAAAAUGAUGUUUCAAACGAAAUUUUGUUUCUACCACGAGACGCUUACGCGGAGAAUUUGGGACAUUUGGCAACGGUUUUUGACCAAGUUCAAACUGCUUUAUGGCGUAGCCACCAAAAAACGACUCAACGUUAUAACCUACGCAGAAAAGAUGCUGAAUUCUCAGUGGGUGAUACCGUUUGGAAGAGGUGUUUUUUCCAAAGCGAUAAAGCUGCUCACUUUGCGAAGAAACUAGCUCCCAAAUUUGAGAAGUGCCGUAUUAUAGGUAAACGUUCCCCUCUUGUUUACAUCUUAGAAGAUAAAGAUGGACGUGAUAUUGGGGCCUGGCAUAUUAAAGAUCUCAAACUGAAAAUGUAUGAAGCUUAGCAACGCUAUUACGAUAGUUUCGAUUUAACUUAGGUUAAAUCUUUUCUAAGGAGGGGGAUAUUGUCACGAUUAACGUGAACUUCUCGUUACUAAUAUACUUAAACUUUAAAAUAAACUAAACAUUGUCCAUAAAAAUAUUAAACCUAAAAAUAAAACCUUACUUGCUAAUAUAAACACUACUUACUUAAACUAUAAACUAUACAUAAUUAAAUACUAAAUAAAACUAAACAUAAUACUAACUUUCAAACAAAAUCCUAAUCCAUACGUCAUUUAAAUGUGCAUCGAAAUGUUACUGCGCUGUUCUCGCUAUUAAAAUCGUACGGGUUAUUUGGUGUUUUGUUUACCGCGUCUCAAAGUAAAAAACUGCCGUGAGGAUCGCACCGGCGGCGCCACGCAGACUAGUUCGGCGGCCGAGACGAGUGCGGUCGUCCCUACUGCAUUGAAUGCAAACCUAUUUCACGCUCGACUGAUUUCUCAAGUCGUUCAUAAGCGAUUUACUAUUUUCGCAUACUUCUAUUAGUGCUAGUAACACUUUACUACUGCAAGAUCAGUGUUAAUUAUAAUUAUUUCAACCCCUUGACCGGGGUUUUUAUGCCGGGCAUAAUAUUAAGGGCAGACUACACCACGCUCAAGCAAGGAAGAAGCCAACUGAAGCUGUCAAACACCUACCUCAGGCCAGUGUUGGAACUACUUAACCGUCCCGGUGAUACCAAAUUACUUUUAAUAAGAAAGAACCUGACCCUGAGACUAUUUAAUUUUAGAUUUUUAUUAUUAAGAGAUAAUUGCAGAAGUUCAAUAAACUUAUUAUUUUGUU